UACGAAGGGGGCUAGCGUUGCUCGGAAUCACUGGGCGUAAAGGGUGCGUAGGCGGGUUUUUAAGUCAGAGGUGAAAUCCUGGAGCUCAACUCCAGAACUGCCUUUGAUACUGAAAGUCUUGAGUAUGGGAGAGGUGAGUGGAACUGCGAGUGUAGAGGUGAAAUUCGUAGAUAUUCGCAAGAACACCAGUGGCGAAGGCGGCUCACUGGCCCGGUACUGACGCUGAGGUGCGAAAGCGUGGGGAGCAAACAGG
rnacentral:rRNA from 1 species